AUAUUUUGGAUUGCUUUGGACAGUAAUAACUCUUUGAAUUAGGAGUGUUCAACCGGGCCGGAUUUUUUUCCGGUUCGGUCCGAAACCCGGAAUCUUGGUGGAUCCGUGCGGUUAUCCGCCCGGAUUAAACCCGGGCGGGUAAAAAAACUUUUGUACCCGCCCGGAUCCGGUUUUUAACCCAGUUUCCGUAACCGGCUUUUUUUUUUAAAAAAACAUUGCUUAUGAUUUAAAACAGUGUCAUUUUUGCUAAUGGAAAACUACGCCA